UCUCCGUUGGUGAACCAGCGGAGGGAUCAUUACAGGACUCGCAAGACUCCUACAACCCUGUGAACUUAACUAUAAGCACGUUGCUUCGGCGGGUGUCUCGGAGGGGGUUCUCCCUCCCCGAGACGCUAAACCCGCCGGCAGCCUACUAUACUCUGUCUCUUUGCGUUGGCAUCUCGAGUACAAUCAAACAAGUUAAAACUUUCAACAACGGAUCUCUAGGUUCUG
rnacentral:misc_RNA from 1 species